rnacentral:rRNA from 1 species
UACAGAGGGUGCAAGCGUUGUUCGGAAUUAUUGGGCGUAAAGCGCGCGUAGGCGGACCUGCAAGUCGGGGGUGAAAGCCCGAGGCUCAACCUCGGAACUGCCUUCGAUACUGCGGGUCUCGAGUCCGGGAGAGGUGAGUGGAAUUCCUAGUGUAGAGGUGAAAUUCGUAGAUAUUAGGAAGAACACCAGUGGCGAAGGCGGCUCACUGGCCCGGUACUGACGCUGAGGCGCGAAAGCAUGGGGAGCGAACAGG